rnacentral:rRNA from 1 species
UGCAGUCGAGCGGACGUUUUUGAAGCUUGCUUCAAAAACGUUAGCGGCGGACGGGUGAGUAACACGUGGGCAACCUACCUUAUCGACUGGGAUAACUCCGGGAAACCGGGGCUAAUACCGGAUAACAUCUAGCACCUCCUGGUGCCGGAUUAAAAGAGGGCUUCUUGCUCUCACGAUGAGAUGGGCCCGCGGCGCAUUAGCUAGUUGGAGAGGUAACGGCUCCCCAAGGCGACGAUGCGUAGCCGACCUGAGAGGGUGAUCGGCCACACUGGGACUGAGACACGGCCCAGACUCCUACGGGAGGCAGCAGUAGGGAAUCUUCCGCAAUGGACGAAAGUCUGACGGAGCAACGCCGCGUGAGUGAUGAAGGGUUUCGGCUCGUAAAGCUCUGUUAUGAGGGAAGAACACGUACCGUUCGAAUAGGGCGGUACCUUGACGGUACCUCAUCAGAAAGCCACGGCUAACUACGUGCCAGCAGCCGCGGUAAUACGUAGGUGGCAAGCGUUGUCCGGAAUUAUUGGGCGUAAAGCGCGCGCAGGCGGCCUUUUAAGUCUGAUGUGAAAUCUUGCGGCUCAACCGCAAGCGGCCAUUGGAAACUGGGAGGCUUGAGUACAGAAGAGGAGAGUGGAAUUCCACGUGUAGCGGUGAAAUGCGUAGAUAUGUGGAGGAACACCAGUGGCGAAGGCGACUCUCUGGUCUGUAACUGACGCUGAGGCGCGAAAGCGUGGGG